rnacentral:rRNA from 1 species
GAUAAACGCUGGCGGCGUGCCUAAUACAUGCAAGUCGAGCGAACGGACGAGAAGCUUGCUUCUCUGAUGUUAGCGGCGGACGGGUGAGUAACACGUGGAUAACCUACCUAUAAGACUGGGAUAACUUCGGGAAACCGGAGCUAAUACCGGAUAAUAUUUUGAACCGCAUGGUUCAAAAGUGAAAGACGGUCUUGCUGUCACUUAUAGAUGGAUCCGCGCUGCAUUAGCUAGUUGGUAAGGUAACGGCUUACCAAGGCAACGAUGCAUAGCCGACCUGAGAGGGUGAUCGGCCACACUGGAACUGAGACACGGUCCAGACUCCUACGGGAGGCAGCAGUAGGGAAUCUUCCGCAAUGGGCGAAAGCCUGACGGAGCAACGCCGCGUGAGUGAUGAAGGUCUUCGGAUCGUAAAACUCUGUUAUUAGGGAAGAACAUAUGUGUAAGUAACUGUGCACAUCUUGACGGUACCUAAUCAGAAAGCCACGGCUAACUACGUGCCAGCAGCCGCGGUAAUACGUAGGUGGCAAGCGUUAUCCGGAAUUAUUGGGCGUAAAGCGCGCGUAGGCGGUUUUUUAAGUCUGAUGUGAAAGCCCACGGCUCAACCGUGGAGGGUCAUUGGAAACUGGAAAACUUGAGUGCAGAAGAGGAAAGUGGAAUUCCAUGUGUAGCGGUGAAAUGCGCAGAGAUAUGGAGGAACACCAGUGGCGAAGGCGACUUUCUGGUCUGUAACUGACGCUGGUGUGCGAAAGCGUGGGGAUCAAACAGGAUUAGAUACCCUGGUAGUCCACGCCGUAAACGAUGAGUGCUAAGUGUUAGGGGGUUUCCGCCCCUUAGUGCUGCAGCUAACGCAUUAAGCACUCCGCCUGGGGAGUACGACCGCAAGGUUGAAACUCAAAGGAAUUGACGGGGACCCGCACAAGCGGUGGAGCAUGUGGUUUAAUUCGAAGCAACGCGAAGAACCUUACCAAAUCUUGACAUCCUUUGACAACUCUAGAGAUAGAGCCUUCCCCUUCGGGGGACAAAGUGACAGGUGGUGCAUGGUUGUCGUCAGCUCGUGUCGUGAGAUGUUGGGUUAAGUCCCGCAACGAGCGCAACCCUUAAGCUUAGUUGCCAUCAUUAAGUUGGGCACUCUAAGUUGACUGCCGGUGACAAACCGGAGGAAGGUGGGGAUGACGUCAAAUCAUCAUGCCCCUUAUGAUUUGGGCUACACACGUGCUACAAUGGACAAUACAAAGGGCAGCGAAACCGCGAGGUCAAGCAAAUCCCAUAAAGUUGUUCUCAGUUCGGAUUGUAGUCUGCAACUCGACUACAUGAAGCUGGAAUCGCUAGUAAUCGUAGAUCAGCAUGCUACGGUGAAUACGUUCCCGGGUCU